UAGGAAUUGGCGGGGGAGCACCGCAACGGGAGGAGCGUGCGGUUCAAUUGGAUUCAACGCCGGACAACUCACCAGGAGCGACGGUUACAUGAAGGCCAGGUUGAUGACCUUGCCCGAUUUUCCGAGAGGUGGUGCAUGGCCGUCGUCAGUUCGUACCGUAAGGCGUUCUCUUAAGUGAGAUAACGAACGAGACCCUCACCAUUAAUUGCGAGCUUUCUCUCCGGAGGGAGUGCACAUUAGUGGGACCGCUGGCGCUAAGUCAGAGGAAGGAGAGGUCAACGGUAGGUCCGUAUGCCCCGAAUCUCCUGGGCUACACGCGCGCUACAAAGGUUGGGACAAUGGGCUACAACAUCGAAAGGUGAAGUCAAUCCCGAAACCCAAUCGUAGUUCGGAUUGAGGGUUGUAACUCACCCUCAUGAAGCUGGAUUCCGUAGUAAUCGCUUGUCAACAUCAAGCGGUGAAUAUGCCCCUGCUCCUUGCACACACCGCCCGUCAAGCCACCCGAGUAGGGUUUCAGUAAGGAUAUCUCUGAUUGGGGUUUUCGAACUGAGAUUCUGCAAGGAGGGCUAAGUCGUAACAAGGUAGCCUCAGUCAGUCA
rnacentral:rRNA from 1 species